rnacentral:rRNA from 1 species
GUGGGGAAUUUUGGACAAUGGGCGCAAGCCUGAUCCAGCAAUGCCGCGUGCAGGAAGAAGGCCUUCGGGUUGUAAACUGCUUUUGUACGGAACGAAACGGUCCGGGUUAAUACCCUGGGCUAAUGACGGUACCGUAAGAAUAAGCACCGGCUAACUACGUGCCAGCAGCCGCGGUAAUACGUAGGGUGCAAGCGUUAAUCGGAAUUACUGGGCGUAAAGCGUGCGCAGGCGGUUUUGUAAGACAGGCGUGAAAUCCCCGGGCUCAACCUGGGAAUUGCGCUUGUGACUGCAAGGCUGGAGUGCGGCAGAGGGGGAUGGAAUUCCGCGUGUAGCAGUGAAAUGCGUAGAUAUGCGGAGGAACACCGAUGGCGAAGACAAUCCCCUGGACCUGUACUGACGCUCAUGCACGAAAGCGUGGGGAGCAAACAGGAUUAGAAACCCUAGUAGUCC